rnacentral:rRNA from 1 species
CCUACGGGACGCAGCAGUAGGGAAUCUUCCACAAUGGACGAAAGUCUGAUGGAGCAACGCCGCGUGAGUGAAGAAGGGUUUCGGCUCGUAAAGCUCUGUUGGUAGUGAAGAAAGAUAGAGGUAGUAACUGGCCUUUAUUUGACGGUAAUUACUUAGAAAGUCACGGCUAACUACGUGCCAGCAGCCGCGGUAAUACGUAGGUGGCAAGCGUUGCCCGGAUUUACUGGGUGUAAAGGGAGCGCAGGCGGCUUGGCAAGGCUGAUGUGAAAGGCUGGGG